rnacentral:rRNA from 1 species
UACGAGGGGAGCAAGCGUUGUUCGGAUUUACUGGGCGUAAAGGGCGCGUAGGCGGCGUGACUAGUCACUUGUGAAAUCUCCGGGCUUAACUCGGAACGGUCAAGUGAUACUGUCGUGCUAGAGUACAGAAGGGGCAACUGGAAUUCUCGGUGUAGCGGUAAAAUGCGUAGAUAUCGAGAGGAACACCUGCGGCGAAGGCGGGUUGCUGGGCUGAUACUGACGCUGAUGCGCGAAAGCCAGGGGAGCGAACGGG